rnacentral:lncRNA from 7 species
UGCACAAAAGGCGGAACACCAUUUUGUUCAGAUUGGAAUUCUAGAACUUGAGAUCUUGGACAAAGAUUUAGUCCUAGGAUAAAGUAUUUCAUAUAGAUGUAUAAGACAUGUGCUAGUUGGAUCUUGACAAGGAUUUAAACUAUCUACAGGCUAGUUGGAUCUGACAAAGAAAUAAACUAUCUAUUGUUGGUACUUUAUGCAGUAGAGAUUACACUGAUAUUUACUUAAUUAAACUAGCUAAUUCUAGUCCACCUAUAAAAGAACAAGGGUUGACUACAAAGAACAAGAUAACAUAUUUUCCAGUUCCUUUCGUUGCUUUCUGCUAUAUGUGCAUCAGUUCUAUACACUGCUAUCAGUGUCUAGCUAUAUGUGCAUCAGUUUUAUACACAAUCUGUGGCAGCCCU